rnacentral:rRNA from 1 species
CCUGGCGGCCAUAGCGCCGUGGAACCACCUGAACCCAUGCCGAACUCAGAAGUGAAACGCGGUAGCGCCGAUGGUAGUGUGGCAUUCGCCA